GUGCUCACUUUGGCAGCACAUAUGCAGAGAUUACCACGAUACAGAGAUGAACAUGGCCCCUGUGCAAGGAAGACACGCAAAUUUGUGAAGCAUUUCAUAUUUUU